rnacentral:rRNA from 1 species
GGAUUAGGCAUGCAAGUCGAACGGGGCGCCCUCGGACGCCCAGUGGCGAAAGGGUGAGUAACACGUGAGCAACCUGCCCCCGAGUCCGGAAUAAGCGGUGGAAACGCCGUCUAAUGCCGGAUGCGGACCGCGGCCUCCUGGCCGCGGCUCCAAAGAUUUAUCGCUUGGGGAUGGGCUCGCGCCCCAUUAGCUAGUUGGCGGGGUAAGCGCCCACCAAGGCUACGACGGGUAGGUGGACUGAGAGGUUGGUCACCCACACUGGGACUGAGACACUGCCCAGACUCCUACGGGAGGCUGCAGUCGAGAAUCUUCCGCAAUGGGCGAAAGCCUGACGGAGCGAUGCCGCGUGAGGGAAGAAUGCCUUCGGGUUGUAAACCUCUGUCACCCGGGACGAACCAAUGACGGUACCGGGAGAGGAAGUCACGGCUAACUACGUGCCAGCAGCCGCGGUAACACGUAGGUGGCGAGCGUUAUUCGGAUUCACUGGGCGUAAAGGGUCCGCAGGGGGCCUGCCAAGUCUGUCGUGAAAACCCGGGGCUCAACCCCGGGCCUGCGGUGGAGACUGGCGGGCUUGAGUUCGUGAUGGGCAGACGGAACACCUGGUGUAGCGGUGGAAUGCGUGGAUAUCAGGUGGAACACCGAUGGCGAAGGCGGUCUGCUGGCGCGACACUGACCCUCAUGGACGAAAGCGUGGGUAGCGAACAGGAUUAGAUACCCUGGUAGUCCACGCCGUAAACGUUGAGAACCAGAUGUGGUGGGGCUGGCCCCCUCCGCGUCCAAGUUAACGCGAUAAGUUCUCCGCCUGGGGACUACGGCCGCAAGGCUAAAACUCAAAGGAAUUGACGG